rnacentral:rRNA from 1 species
AUUGAACGCUGGCGGCAGGCUUAACACAUGCAAGUCGAGCGGGGGAAGGUAGCUUGCUACCGGACCUAGCGGCGGACGGGUGAGUAAUGCUUAGGAAUCUGCCUAUUAGUGGGGGACAACAUCUCGAAAGGGAUGCUAAUACCGCAUACGCCCUACGGGGGAAAGCAGGGGAUCUUCGGACCUUGCGCUAAUAGAUGAGCCUAAGUCGGAUUAGCUAGUUGGUGGGGUAAGGGCCUACCAAGGCGACGAUCUGUAGCGGGUCUGAGAGGAUGAUCCGCCACACUGGGACUGAGACACGGCCCAGACUCCUACGGGAGGCAGCAGUGGGGAAUAUUGGACAAUGGGCGGAAGCCUGAUCCAGCCAUGCCGCGUGUGUGAAGAAGGCCUUUUGGUUGUAAAGCACUUUAAGCGAGGAGGAGGCUACUUAGAUUAAUACUCUGGGAUAGUGGACGUUACUCGCAGAAUAAGCACCGGCUAACUCUGUGCCAGCAGCCGCCGCCG